GGCACAGCUACUGUAGAAUCACCAAAACUCAUGAACUGAAUACAAGUGAAUGCUCCAAACUCCCGAACGGCAUACAAGGGAAUGCUCCAAACACUCGAACUGCAUACAAGGGAAUGGUCCAAACACUCAAACUGCAUACAAGUGAAUGCUCCAAACUCCCGAACGGCAAGGGAAUAAGGUAGCACUCCAAAUACACGAACAGGAACCAUACGAAUUGCUGCUACCAGACGAACAGGAAAAGCUCCCAAGCGGCUUAC